rnacentral:rRNA from 1 species
CGAGGCGAACCGGGGAAACUGAAACAUCUCAGUACCCCGCGUAAAAGAAAUCAACCGAGAUUUCCCCAGUAGCGGCGAGCGAACAGGGAGAACCCCAGAGUCAACAUCAAUAUUUACCGCAGGCGUAAGAUCUGGAAAGGCCGGCAAUAAAGGGUGAUAGCCCCGUAUCUGAAGCGGUAAGUGUUGUGAACUCGAAGAGUAAGGCGGGACACGUGUUAUCCUGUCUGAAUAUGGGGGGACCAUCCUCCAAGGCUAAAUACUCCUGACUGACCGAUAGUGAACCAGUACCGUGAGGGAAAGGCGAAAAGAACCCCGGCGAGGGGAGUGAAAUAGAACCUGAAACCGUGUACGUACAAGCAGUAGGAGCACCCGAAAAGGUGUGACUGCGUACCUUUUGUAUAAUGGGUCAGCGACUUAUAUUCUGUAGCAAGGUUAACCGCAUAGGGGAGCCGUAGGGAAACCGAGUCUUAACUGGGCGUUAAGUUGCAGGGUAUAGACCCGAAACCCGGUGAUCUAGCCAUGAGCAGGUUGAAG